rnacentral:rRNA from 1 species
UACGGAGGGUGCGAGCGUUAAUCGGAAUUACUGGGCGUAAAGCGUACGUAGGCGGUUUGUUAAGCAGGAUGUGAAAUCCCCGGGCUCAACCUGGGAACUGCAUCUUGAACUGGCAGGCUAGAGUGCAGUAGAGGAUAGUGGAAUUCCUGGUGUAGCAGUGAAAUGCGUAGAUAUCAGGAGGAACAUCGAUGGCGAAGGCAGCUAUCUGGACUGACACUGACGCUGAGGUACGAAAGCGUGGGGAGCAAACAGG